rnacentral:rRNA from 1 species
AAUGAGCGUUGAUCCGAGGGUGUCCGAAUGGGGAAACCCGGCCAUGGUUAUGUGUGGUCACCCGCCAGUGAAGAAAAUAGUUGGUUGGGGGGUUACGCGGGGAAGUGAAACAUCUUAGUACCCGUAGGAAGAGAAAACAAGUGUGAUUCCGUGAGUAGUGGCGAGCGAAAGCGGAGGAGGCUAAACCGUGUGUGUGUUCAAGCCGGCAGGUGUUGCAUGUGCGGGGUUGUGGGGGCCUUGUGGUUCUGCUGCCGCAGGAUUGGCCAGUGAGAAAUGUUGCGUGAAGGUGAAGCGUCUGGGAAGGCGUACCGGAGUGGGUGAGAGUCCUGUAACUGUAAGCGUGGCACUGGUGUGGGGUUGCCCCGAGUAGCGUGGGACUCGUGGAAUUUCGCGUGAAUCUGGCGGGACCACCCGUCAAGCCUAAAUACUCCUUGGUGACCGAUAGUGGAUGAGUACCGUGAGGGAAGGGUGAAAAGUACCCCGGGAGGGGAGUGAAAGAGUUCCUGAAACCGGUCGCAUGCAA